UGGCUCAGGACGAACGCUGGCGGCAGGCCUAACACAUGCAAGUCGAGCGGCAGCGGGAAAGUAGCUUGCUACUUUUGCCGGCGAGCGGCGGACGGGUGAGUAAUGCCUGGGAAAUUGCCCAGUCGAGGGGGAUAACAGUUGGAAACGACUGCUAAUACCGCAUACGCCCUACGGGGGAAAGCAGGGGACCUUCGGGCCUUGCGCGAUUGGAUAUGCCCAGGUGGGAUUAGCUAGUUGGUGAGGUAAUGGCUCACCAAGGCGACGAUCCCUAGCUGGUCUGAGAGGAUGAUCAGCCACACUGGAACUGAGACACGGUCCAGACUCCUACGGGAGGCAGCAGUAGG
rnacentral:rRNA from 1 species